rnacentral:lncRNA from 1 species
GCGCAAGGGUGGCGCGCGCGCGUUUUCCUUGUUCCUGGUCAACAAAGAAAUGUGGAGUGUCUUGGCUGAAUCCUCAUACAGACAAGAUCAUUAUGGUGCUGUUAGGUAGGACUUGUAUCCAGAUGUAAGGUUGAAAAAGUGAUAUAAUAAAGGAACCAAGGAGAAAAUUCAGAAGGAAAGAAAAAAUUGGACUUUGAUUCUUAAUGAAUGGGCAAGAAAAGACCUUCUGGUUUGUGAAGAAAAAGAGGCAACAAUAGCAACAGCUUUCCUCCAAGUGAUUAUUGUAGCAAAGUCAAGCCUGAAACAAUGGAGAAUGAAGUUAUGCCUGACUCAUUUUGUUAUUACACCCAAAUGAGUUCAUUGUACAGAAUGGGCCUUUUUGACACGUGUCUAAUGAUAUUUUGAUGCAAAUGAAAUAAUACACAUAAAAAAUGACCUGUUUACAGGAAAGA